GUCAGAUAAUUUCUUAUGUUAUUUGUAUUCUUUACUUCUCAUAGUUAUGCAUGACUUGCGACUUAUUCACACAGAUCUGAAGCCAGAAAAUAUUUUUCUUGUUUCUGUAGAAUAUGUGAAGGUGCCUGAUUCUAAGAAGGCUUCCUUCUACAAAUGUUCAGUCACCUAACAUAAAUGCACUGUAGUUCUAGAAAUGAGAAGAAAGCCUGCAUUUGGUAGUUUUCUAUGCUGAAGUUGGGCUAAAAGGCUUUCUUCACAUCAUAAUUUGUUGCAACUUGUUGACAGAUGUGUGAAGUCGUGCGAGAUGUUGCAAACUAUUUCCCAACGGCAAUAAUUAGUGGAAGAUGACGUGAUAAGGCAUUGUCACGGAUGGCACAUGGCCCAAAUAUGCUAGUCAGUGCAUCGUAGCUGCCAAGUGGACUUUUGGGAUUACAAAUGUUCUGAAGACGGGUAUUGAUGCUGCCAAGUUCCUUGCAUAUUAAGAUAAGUUUACCAAAUUCAUUAUGCAAACCAAAGCUUAAACACUCUGCAACUGAAUGUUCAAACUCAGAGUUGUUGGAUGGUUGUAAUGAAUUCUCUAUAUCUUGGAUCCCCAUUCGCAUUGAGUUUGUGUUAGCAUUAGCAUCUAUUUUGAAGUCUCCGGGCUACUUUGACCCCUUUCCAUCUUGGUCACAUUCUUGUUUUUUUUUUUUUUUGGCUGACAUAUAUAUGGGGGCUAAUCCCUUCGCACUCAUCUCUCAUACAAACUCUGCUAUUUGUAGUUGGCAUAUGGUGGUAUCAAUGGUUGCAGGACAAACUGUACAACUGCCCCAUUGUUCGAGGCAUUUGGAGGAGUGCCCUUUCAGUCAGGUCCAUAUGAAUCCAUCCAAAAAAAAAAAAAAAAACAGGGGCAUGCAUUGGGUACAUCGCCGGUAUCAGUCAAAUACAUCCAAUACAACAUGGAGGCUGGAAUUUGAAUUUUGUUUUUUUUUUUUUU